CAAUAGCGUAUAUUAAAGUUGUUGCAGUUAAAAAGCUCGUAGUUGGAUUUCUGGUGGGAGCGAUCGGUCUGGCGCUUAGCGCGAGUACUUGCAUCGUCUCCGGCCAUCCUUGGGGAGAGUCUGUCUGGCAUUAGGUUGUCGGGCAGAGGAUCCUCAUCGUUUACUGUGAAAAAAUUAGAGUGUUCAAAGCAGGCUUAUGCCGUUGAAUAUAUUAGCAUGGAAUAAUAAGAUAGGACUGUGGUACUAUUUUGUUGGUUUGCGCACCAAAGUAAUGAUUAAUAGGGACAGUUGGGGGUAUUCGUAUUCCGUUGUCAGAGGUGAAAUUCUUGGAUUUACGGAAGACGAACUACUGCGAAAGCAUUUACCAAGGAUGUUUUCAUUAA
rnacentral:rRNA from 1 species